CGACCGUGGGACUCCUGCAGCUGGCUUCAGUCUUCACGGCUUUCACUCAACUUUUCGGUAACGUUAUUUUCUUUGAUAUAAAACCCUGAGAACAAAUUCAAAUGAGCAGCCUCAAUCUCAAUUUCUCAUCCUCCUUCUUCACCGCCUCUCUGCCCCUAACCCAAUCCCAAAUUCCAAACCCUAAAUUUCCUCAAUUCCAACAUACUCUUUCAGAAAUCAACAGACUAAACGAUGCUGUUUCAUAGUACCACAUGCUAGCUUUUCCGAUCUUCCGCUCCUCCCAUUUGAUAUAAACCAGGCUCCUAAGGAGGAAUUGUUGCAAACAUGUAUUGCAACUCCUUAAUGUGGGCAGAAAAGGAGCCUUUUGUGGAUUGUGAUGAAGCUUUUGUUCCAUCAUUGGCUGAACGAAUAUCCUUUGCAGCACUUCAACCUGUAACAGGUUUGCGAAGGAAAAGAGAAGUUUAUUUGGAAAUGCUUAUCAGGUAAGUUUCCUCCGUAUCCCCAAUUCUCCUCCAUUUUGCAUUGUUCUUCAUUCUUUUCUUUUAUGUUUAUGAGUGUUAUUUGUUGACCGCAUGUGUGUAGCAGAGAAUUAAUUUUCAAUCCUUUGAUUUCAUUGUUUUUUUUAGAGCUCUAUGUUGUAUUUUCUAUUAUUCAUUUCUUUAGUUUCGUAUCAAAUUAAUUUUAUUUACUCUCAAGGACAUUGAUGUUUUAACAUUUAUUCUCUACUCCUUUCUCUACAUUUCUUUAAGCGUAAGGGUAGAAUUUUUAGGUUUCCCGUGGUGAAGAGAAGUUUAUUGGGAAUAGUUAUUGGAUAAGUUUCCUCUGUAUUCCCUAUUCUCUCAAAUUUUGCGUUGUUCUUCAUUUUUAUCUUGUCAGUUUCCUCCGUAUCCCCUAUUCUCCUCAAUUUGGCAUUGUUGUUCAUUCUUCUUUUUUAUGUUUGAGUGUUAUUUGUUGACCGCAUGUAUGUAGUAGAGAAUUAAUUUUCAAUCCUUUAAUUUCUUUGUUUGUUUUUAAAAGCUUGAUGUUGUGUUCUCUAUUGGUCAUUUCUUUAGUUUCGUAUCCGAAUAAUUUUAUUUACUUUCAAGGACACUGUGGUUUUAACAUUUGAUCUCUUCUCCUUUCUUUACUUUGCUUUAAGCAUAAGGGUAGAAUUUUCAGGUUUCGCGUGGUCAAGAGAAGUUUAUUGAAAAUUAAUUUUUUGAUAAGUUUCCUCCCUAUUCCCUAUUCUCUCAAAUUUUGUACUGUUUUUCAUAUUUAUCUUUUAUGUUUUCGUGUUAUAUGUCUACUAUAUGUGUGUACUAGAAAUUUAAUUUAUGAAUUCGUUUAUUUCUUUGUUUGUUUUUUAUCUUGAUCUUGCAUUGUGUAUUCCUCAUUUUUUUAGUUUCGUAUCUGCAUAAUUUGAUUUCCUUUAACCGGUAUCCUUAAGAGUUAAUUUUCUUAUUUUCGUUUUUACAUUUGUUAUCUACUCCUUUCGCUACCUUCUAUAAGUGUAAGGUUAGAAUUUUUAGGUUUCCCGAGGAAAAGAGAAGUUUGUUUGGAAAUACUUGUCAGGUAAGUUUUCUCCGUAUCCCCUAUUCUCCUCCAUUUUGCAUUGUUCUUCAUUCUUCUCUUUUAUGUUUGAUUGUUAUUUGUUAACUGCGUGUAUGUAGUAGAGAAUGAAUUUUCAAUCAUUUGAUUCCAUUGUUUUUUUUAGAGCUCUAUGUUGUGGUUUUUAUUACUCAUUUCUUUAGUUUCUUAUCAAAAUAAUUUUAUUUACUUUCAAGGACAAUGUGGCUUUAACAUUUGAUUUCUACUCUUUUCUCUACCUUGUUUUAAGCGUAAGAGUAAAAUUUUUAGGUUUUCCGUGGUGAAGAUAAGUUUAUUGGGAAUUAGUUCUUGGAUAAGUUUCCUUCGUAUUCCCUAUUCUCUCAAAUUUUGCACUGUUCUUCAUAUUUAUCUUGUAUGUUUUCGUGUAUAUGUCUACUGUAUGUGUGUGCUAGAAAAUUAAUUUUGAUUAUAUUAAUUUCUUUGUUUGUUUUUUAUCUUUAUUUUGCGUUGUCUAUUCCUCAUUUCUUUAGUUUCGUAUCUGCAUAAUUUGAUUUUCUUUCAACGAUAUUGUGCCUUAAGAGUUAAUUUUCUUAUUGUCGUUUUUACAUUUUGAUCUCUACUUCUUUCGUUACCUUAUAUAAGCGUAAGGGUAGAAUUUUUAGGUUUCCCAAAGAAAAGAGAAGUUUAUUGGGAAAUACUUGUCAGGUAAGUUUCCUCUGUAUCCCCUAUUCUCCUUCAUUACGUAUUGUUCUUCAUUCUUCUCUUUUGUGUUUUGAGUAUUAUUUGUUGAUUGCAUGUAUGUAGUAGAGAAUGAAUUAUCAAUCCUUUGAUUUCAUUGUUUUUUUUUUUAGAGCUCUAUGUUAAGUUUUCUAUUGCUCAUUUAUUAAGUUUCUUAUCAAAAUAAUUUUAUUUACUCUUAAGAAAAUUGUGGUUUUAAUAUUUGAUCUCUACUCCUUUCUCAACCUUCUUUUAAACGUAACGUUAGAAUUUUCAGGUUUCCCAUGGUGAAGAGAAGCUUUUUGGGAAUUAGUUCUUGUAUAAAUUUCCUCUGUAUUCCCUAUUCUCUCAAAUUUUGCAUUGUUCUUCAUAUUUAUCUUGUAUGUUUUCGUGUUAUAUAUCAACUAUAUGUGUGUAUUAGAAAAUUAAUUUUGAAUCCGUUAAUUUCUUUUUUUGUCUUUUAUCUAUAUGUUGCGUUAUUUAUUACUUAUUUCUUUAGUUUCGUAUUAGCAUAAUUUAAUUUCCUUUCAAGAUAUUGUGCCUUGAGAGUUAAUUUUCUUAUUCUCGUUUUAACAUUUGAUCUCUACUCCUUUCGCUACUUUCUAUAAGCGUAAAGGUAGAAUUUUCAAGUGUCCCGAGGAAAAGAGAAGUUUAUUUGGAAAUACUUGUCAGGUAAGUAUCCUUUGUAUCCCCUAUUCUCUUCGAUUUUGCAUUGUUCUUUAUUAUUCUCUUUUAUGUUUGAGUGUUAUUUGUUGACUGCAUGUAUGUAAUAGAGAAUUAAUUUUCAAUCCUUUGAUUUCUUUAUUUAUUUUUUUAAAGCUUGAUGUUGUGUUUUCUAUUCCUCAUUUCUUUAGUUUCGUAUCCAAAUAAUUUUAUUUACUCUCAAGGACAUUGUGGUUUUAAUAUUUGAUCUCUACUCCUUUCUCUACCUUGCUUUAAGCAUAAGGGCAGAAUUUUCAAGUUUCCCGUGGUAAAGAGAAGUUUAUUGGGAAUUAGGUCUUGGAUAAGUUUCCUUCGUAUUCCGUAUUCUCAAAUUUUGCACUGUCUACUGUAUGAGUGUACAAGAAAAUUACUUUUGAUCCCGUUAAAAAAACAAAAAAAUGUUAAAGAACUAAUUCCCAAUAAACUUCUUUUUUACCACGGGAAACCUGAAAAUUCUACCUUAUGCUUAAAGCAAAUUAGAGAAAGGAGAAGAGAUCAAAUGUUAAAACCACAAUGUCCUUGAGAGUAAAUAAAAUUAUUCGGAUACGAAACUAAAGAAAUGAGGAAUAGAAAACACAACAUCAAGCUUUAAAAAAAAAACAAAGAAAUCAAAGGAUUGAAAAUUAAUUCUCUACUACAUACAUGCAGUCAACAAAUAACACUCAAACAUAAAAGAGAAUAAUAAAAAACAAUGCAAAAUCGAAGAGAAUAGGGGAUACAAAGGAAACUUACCUGACAAGUAUUUCCAAAUAAACUUCUCUUUUCCUCGGGGUAUUUGAAAAUUCUACCUUUACGCUUAUAGAAAGUAGCGAAAGGAGUAGAGAUCAAAUGUUAAAAUGAGAAUAAGAAAAUUAACUCUCAAGGCACAAUAUCUUGAAAGGAAAUUAAAUUAUGUUGAUACGAAACUAAAAAAAUGAGGAAUAGACAACGCAAUAUAUAGAUAAAAGACAAAAAAAGAAAUUAACGGAUUCAAAAUUAAUUUUCUAGUACACAUAUGCAGUGGACAUAUAACACGAAAACAUACAAGAUAAAUAUGAAGAACAAUGCAAAAUUUGAGAGAAUAGGGAAUACGGAGGAAACUUAUACAAGAACUAAUUCCCAAAAAGCUUCUCUUCAUCACGGGAAACAUGAAAAUUCUACCGUUACGCUUAAAGGAAGGUCGAGAAAGGAGUAGAGAUCAAAUGUUAAAACCACAAUUUUCUUAGGAGUAAAUAAAAUUAUUUUGAUAAGAAACUUAAGAAAUGAGUAAUAGAAAACUCAAAAUAGAGAUCUAAAAAAAAACAAUGAAAUCAAAGGAUUGAUAAUUCAUUCUCUACUACAUACAUGCAAUCAACAAAUAAUACUCAAAACACAAAAGAGAAGAAUGAAGAACAAUGCGUAAUGAAGGAGAAUAGGGGAUACGGAGGAAACUUACUUGACAAGUAUUUCCUAAUAAGCUUCUCUUUUCUUUGGAAACCUAAAAAUUCUACCCUUACGCUUAUAUAAGGUAGCAAAAGGAGUAGAGAUCAAAUGUAAAAACGACAAUAAGAAAAUUAACUCUUAAGGCACAAUAUCGUUGAAAGAAAAUCAAAUUAUGCAGAUACGAAA